rnacentral:rRNA from 1 species
UUUUAUGGAGAGUUUGAUCCUGGCUCAGGAUGAACGCUGGCGGCGUGCCUAAUACAUGCAAGUCGAGCGAACGGAUGAGAAGCUUGCUUCUCUGAUGUUAGCGGCGGACGGGUGAGUAACACGUGGAUAACCUACCUAUAAGACUGGGAUAACUUCGGGAAACCGGAGCUAAUACCGGAUAAUAUUUUGAGCCGCAUGGUUCAAAAGUGA